UCUAAAAGUAAUUCAAUCCAAAGUGAUAAAUCGAAAACAAGUAAAACACUUUCAUUUGGCACGAGCAGAUUGAGUUUUGAGAAUAUACCUGUGUUCACUGCUGUCAAGAGAAAACAGUCACUUUUUAGCUAUCUACAUGUAAGGAAUAAUUUAUGGAUGGGAGUACUUUCUCACAUGUGUGUGACUUUAAUUUACCAAAGAUUUUAUUAACAGCGAUAAAAAUAAAAUAAAAAACCCUGUAGUUUGAAAACGAUUAAAAAUUGGAUUUCUGUAGUCAGUUUGUGGUUACAAUUAUGCAAAGUGUACAGAAGCGAAAACUCAACAAAUGUCCAGAUACAAAAUACUGAAGUCUGAGCCCAACUUUUCUGCUGUAUCAGUUUAUUUCUUUAUUUAUUUUUGCCCUACCCCCAACAAUCUUACUGACUACUACCACUGUAGUAAGCAAAGGUAUGCACUGUCCUCUGUCUGGAAGACAUAAAUACGUUAUAUUCUUGCAGUAACAUGCUUUGAUCAAAACCAAUGCAACAACUUACAACUACUUACAUACUUUUGGUUAAGGAAUUAACUGAGGUUUUAUAAAGCCCAAAAGGAGCAGGUUUUGUUGAAUGAUGUAAUAGGAAAAUGUUUGUGUUCAAGUAUUUUGUAGUUGUUAAAAUUCAGGUUUGUUUCGACAUAGUUUGUAGUCUCAAAGGGACUUGUAAUUGAUUUUUCUCCCCAUAGAGUAAAGCACAUACUUUGAACACCUAGUAUUUCCCAAAUUAUGCUCUCGAUGAGAGACUAAUGCAUAUCUUUGCUUGUGACAGUGCCACACAUAUACGCAUCAAAAACAUGAUAUUGUUUCCUGAUGUAUGUGAAAUUUUAUUUUACACUUUUUUCACUGUACUCAGAAAAACAGAAAAUGUGUGUUCUGUCAGUUUUUGGUUCUUAAAGUUUACAUUUUAGUGAAUAGAUGAUUUGCACAUUUACGCAAAAAUCAACAUGCUGUUCUACGAGGCUUAUGGUAGGAGAGGGGAACAAAACAUCAGACUCUGCCGAUGUUUGUGAUUGGCAGUGUUUAUAAUCCUUAAAGGAAUAUGUCUUACUAUAAAACACAGUGGCUCUUCACAUUAAAGACAGUAUUUUUAUGAAACAAAAAACAAAAAAACGACAAAAAAAAUCUAAUGUGAUUUUAAUGGCUUGUAGGAUAUAUUAAUUUAAGUUUCUGAUUUGUUGAUUUUAGGACACUUAACCCGGUCUGAGAGGAACUGCAGAAAGUUUGGAUAUUUAUAAGGAGAGAAACUGGGUUUAGAGACUAGCGUGAUAACACUGGCCCAGACAGGGAGGAGAAGCCACCAUCACAUGCUCAGAACAGCAGCCCAAUGUUUCAAUGCUGUCUUAAGAGAGAAGUGCCUUGUGUUACCCCAAAUUUUGUAAGAACAAGUUGAUGUAAAUGUUCAUUUACCUCAAAUGUUUACAAAACUGUUACUAAAUAAACUUUUUGUACCAUAUAUA